rnacentral:lncRNA from 1 species
GCUUCGUGAUUGAGGAUUUCUAUGCGGCUUGUGGUAAUUUGUGAUGGACUAGUUGGAGCACCCCUGCAGGGUUAAAUCUUUCGGAAAGCCGUGCCCGCGGUUAUGUGGCAACGUGGAAGCUUUGUUUAACACUGGUUCUAGAUAACUUGAAGUUAACUUAAUUAAAACAUGCCCACUGUGUGCGUAACCGUGACUGUCUCUUUCGUGAGUUCCUUCUCCGAUCGAGGACACGGUGGGGUUAUGUCUGGCGUAGGUAGGUGUUCAGGAUCAUUC